rnacentral:tRNA from 1 species
UGGGUUGUGGCUCAGUGGUGGAGCACUCGCCUGGCAUGCGGGAGGCACUGGGUUUGAUCCUCAGCACCGCAU